rnacentral:rRNA from 1 species
UACGUCCUACGGGGCGCAGCAGUGAGGAAUAUUGGUCAAUGGCCGGCAGGCUGAACCAGCCAAGCCGCGUGAAGGACGAAGGUGCCAAGCAUUGUAAACUUCUUUUGUCAAGGGACAAAAUCAGGCUCGAGAGCCUGACCGAGGGUAAUUGAAGAAAAAGCAUCGGCUAACUCCGUGCCAGCAGCCGCGGUAAUACGGAGGAUGCGAGCGUUAUCCGGAUUUAUUGGGUUUAAAGGGGGCGUAGGCGGACUGUUAAGUCAGCGGUAAAAGCCCGGGGCUCAACCCCGGCGAGCCGGUGAAACUGG